UUUGAAAAAAAAUUAAAGAGAAGUAAAAAUAAAUCAACAGUGCUUUAUACAAUUAUCCAACCCUACUCUUAAUUCAAACGCUAUUAUCAAGAGCUAAAAACAAAAUAGAAUCUCUGCGACUCAUACAGUGUUUCAAGGCUAUACUGGACACUAUCAAAACAGACAAGUAUGUUUAUUUUAGGUUUCAUUUGGUAUUCCGGGUGUAUACUCUGUUAAGGAGAUCCAGCUUGUUUAGAAAAAUGCCUUUAUAACUGUACGAAAUCACAGGUCGACAACAACUGGUCGCAAUUAUGAAUGCUAAACACCCGCUAGUCGUCUGUAAUUAAUUUGAAGAUAAUGUGUUCCGUGGACCGCCAAACUUAACACUAUUAUUGCGCAAAUAGAGCGUCUGCAUCCUAUCCAUCCUAUCACAUAAGGGUAAUAUCAAUAUAAGGUUAACGCUAAGUCUUCUGAACAUAUUUCACGGCUAACGUUAGCCCGGUGAGGUACCAGAGCUAGCUAAUAAACACAGGCUAAACGUGCUAAUAUGAGGAAGGAGCGCUACAUCAGAUGAUGUAUUGCUGAAAGAGUUCCUUUCAAUGUCAAUCUCAACCGAGCCCCUGCCUUCCUCUGUGACCUCUGACCCCAGACUUGUUAUGUGAACCUCCAGCC